AUGGCGUGUACUGGCGCGAGAUGCGGAAGCUCUUCAUGGUGGAGCUCCUCAGCAUGCGCACGGGAGCAGCAGGUUGCCAAACUUGUGAGCAAACCGGUGGCGUUGAACGAGCACAUCUUUGGCCUCACGGACGGCAUCAUCGGCACGGUAGCGUUCGGCAGCGUAUACGGGGCUGACCAGUUCCCGCACAAGGGGCGCUUUCAGGAGGUGCUGGACGAGGCCAUGGACAUGAUGGCCAGCUUCUCUGCCGAGGACUUCUUCCCUGGCACCGGCGGCCGUCUCGUGGACCGCCUAACAGGCCUCUUGGGCCGCCGCGAGAGGGUCUUCAAGGACCUGGACGCCUUCUUCGAGCUUAACAUUGAGCAGCACCUGGACCCGGCACGCCCCAAGCCGGACAACGGCGGGGACCUCGUCGAUGUCCUCAUCGGCCUGUGGAAGGAGCAGCAUAGCACAGUGCGCUUCACCAAGGAUCACGUCAAGGCCAUCAUCCUGGACACGUUUAUUGGCGCCAUAGACACGAGCUCCGUGACGAUGCUGUGGGCAAUGUCCGAGUUGAUACGGAAGCCGCGCAUACUCAGCAAGGUGCAAGAGGAGAUCAGGGCAAUGGUGGGCCGCAACCAUUUUUGGAGGGUGAAAGAAGACCACGUCCCCAAUCUCACCUACCUCAAGAUGGUGGUCAAGGAGACCCUGCGGCUGCACCCACCGGCCACCCUGCUUGUGCCGAGGGAGACCAUGAAGCCCCUCGAGAUCGGAGGCUACGACGUGCCUGCCAAGACGCGGAUCCUCGUCAACGCAUGGGCCAUCGGCAGGGACCCCCUGAGCUGGGGCUCCGACUCAGAGGAGUUCAACCCGGACAGGUUCCAUGACAGUGACAUCGACUUCAACGGCGCCCACUUCCAGCUCCUACCUUUUGGCGCCGGCCGGAGGAUAUGUCCUGGCCUAGCCAUGGGGGUCAUGAACGUGGAGUUCACGUUUGCCAACCUGCUAUACUGCUUCGAUUGGGCGCUCCUAGAAGGGAUGCCGCCCAAGAAUGUGAGCAUGGAAGAGGCCGGCGCCCUCACUUUCCAUCGGAUGGCGCCGCUGAUUCUCGUGCCCACGCCGCAGGGUGACUCUUCCGCAAAUAUGCAUUUCACCUCUCUAGCUUCCAAUUAUGUGUUGAAUUAA
rnacentral:rRNA from 1 species